ensembl:lncRNA
ACACACACACACGCACACACACACGCACACACACACACACACACACCAUUUAUUUGUGGUAAGUACUAAAAAGCAUAGGGGUAAUUGUAUUCAGGAUUGUACCAUAAAUGUAAACAAAUGAGAAUAGCAAGAUAUCAAGAAAAUUAAACUUCAUUGUGAACAAUAUAAGAAAUACAAGGAAAAGCUAAGAAAACUGUUAAAUCAGACAACUAAGUGAAUAUAGUUAUUUGACUAAAUGAUUGUGGUAUCAAUUCGCCUUCUAAAAAUUAUUAUUUAUACUCAUAGAUUUGGGCUGCUCUCAACUUUGGUCAGAAACUUUGUUUUCACAAUGUGUAGUGGUGACUGCUAAGACGCAUAACUUUUAAGGUUUCAGGUAUACGUAACUAUGAGUAGUUAACUAAAGAUGGCAACCUGUAUAAACUCCAACUCGAAAGGAACAUCACAGAAGAGGAAGCAGAAAGAAUGAUGCCUCAGCUCUCCUGUGUCAGUGGGGAUGAAGAAGUACUUUUUCCACAAAGGAAGUUUCCCUGGACAUAGAGAAAACAGUCUACACUGGUAUUGGACCCAGACAAAAAAAAAUGAAGGGCUUGAUGUAGUGGUACACAUCUUUAAUCUCAGCAUUCGGGAGACAAAGGC